AGAGUUUGAUCAUGGCUCAGAACGUACGCUGGCGGCACGCCUAACACAUGCAAGUCGAACGAAGUAGCAAUACUUAGUGGCAGACGGGUGAGUAACAUGUAGGUAUCUGCCCUUUGGCCUGGAAUAACACGAGGAAACUUGUGCUAAUACCGGAUAAGUCUUUACGGAGAAAGCUUUAUGCACCAUUGGAUGAGCCUGCACUUGAUUAGUUUGUUGGUGGGGUAAUGGCCUACCAAGACUGCGAUCAAUAGCUGAUUUGAGAGGAUGAUCAGCCACAUUGGGACUGAGACACGGCCCAAACUCCUACGGGAGGCAGCAGUGGGGAAUCUUGCACAAUGGAGGAAACUCUGAUGCAGCGAUGCCGCGUGAGUGAAGAAGGCCCUUGGGUUGUAAAGCUCUUUCGUCGGGGAAGAAAGUGACUGUACCCGAAUAAGAAGGUCCGGCUAACUUCGUGCCAGCAGCCGCGGUAAUACGAAGGGACCUAGCGUAGUUCGGAAUUACUGGGCUUAAAGAGUUCGUAGGUGGUUGAAAAAGUUGGUGGUGAAAUCCCAGAGCUUAACUCUGGAACUGCCAUCAAAACUUUUCAGCUAGAGUAUGAUAGAGGAAAGCAGAAUUUCUAGUGUAGAGGUGAAAUUCGUAGAUAUUAGAAAGAAUACCAAUUGCGAAGGCAGCUUUCUGGAUCAUUACUGACACUGAGGAACGAAAGCAUGGGUAGCGAAGAGGAUUAGAUACCCUCGUAGUCCAUGCCGUAAACGAUGUGUGUUAGACGUUGGAAAUUUAUUUUCAGUGUCGCAGCGAAAGCGAUAAACACACCGCCUGGGGAGUACGACCGCAAGGUUAAAACUCAAAUGAAUUGAC
rnacentral:rRNA from 1 species